rfam:Haemonchus contortus, ISE/inbred ISE, WGS project CAVP01000000 data, contig: Hcontortus_41825
AGCCCAAAUUUGAAGUAGAGUAGAUUAGAAGGGUCACCUGGCCCUACCAAACUACUCUACUUCGAGUUUCUGCCC